UACAGAGGUGGCAAGCGUUGUUCGGAAUUAUUGGGCGUAAAGGGCGCGUAGGCGGCCAUGCGUGUCUUCCGUGAAAUCCCUCGGCUUAACUGAGGACGUGCGGAAGAAACUGCAAGGCUCGAGUCCGGGAGAGGGGGGUGGAAUUCCCAGUGUAGCGGUGAAAUGCGUAGAUAUUGGGAGGAACACCGGUGGCGAAGGCGGCCCCCUGGACCGGUACUGACGCUGAGGCGCGAAAGCGUGGGUAGCAAACGGG
rnacentral:rRNA from 1 species